rnacentral:rRNA from 1 species
GAUCAUGGCUCAGGAUGAACGCUGGCGGCAUGCCUAAUACAUGCAAGUCGAACGAGAGGAAGGAAAGCUUGCUUUUCUGAAUCUAGUGGCGAACGGGUGAGUAAUACAUAAGUAACCUGGCAUCUACAGGGGGAUAACUGAUGGAAACGUCAGCUAAGACCGCAUAGGUGUAGAGAUCGCAUGAACUCUAUAUGAAAAGUGCUACGGGACUGGUAGAUGAUGG